rnacentral:rRNA from 1 species
UGGGGAAUAUUGGACAAUGGGGGGAACCCUGAUCCAGCCAUGCCGCGUGUGUGAAGAAGGUCUUAUUGUUGUAAAGCACUUUAAGCGAGGAGGAGGGUACUGGUAUUAAUACUACCAGGUACUGGACGUUACUCGCAGAAUAAGCACCGGCUAACUCUGUGCCAGCAGCCGCGGUAAUACAGAGGGUGCGAGCGUUAAUCGGAUUUACUGGGCGUAAAGCGUGCGUAGGCGGCUAAUUGAGUCGGAUGUGAAAUCCCCGAGCUUAACUUGGGAAUUGCAUUCGAUACUGGUUAGCUAGAGUGUGGGAGAGGAUGGUAAAAUUCCAGGUGUAGCGGUGAAAUGCGUAGAGAUCUGGAGGAAUACCGAUGGCGAAGGCAGCCAUCUGGCAUAACACUGACGCUGAGGUACGAAAGCAUGGGGAGCAAACAGG